rnacentral:lncRNA from 1 species
UUAACUGAAAUAACAGUAUCAACAAAUACCAUCUUGAAUUCCAAAUCAGAUGGAAUUGACAAAAGUUUUAUGUGACGUGAAUCGCCAACAUCUUGAAUGUCUCCUACUAUAGCAGUACUACAUUUCUUAGAAGCUAAUAACCAUAGUUUCUUAGUAAAAUGUACUGUUUAAAGUGUGUAAAUAUACACUGGUCCUUGGAGGGUGCUAAUUUUAACCUGAAAUGUUUCAGAACAAGAUAGUAAACUAAGAAAUGAGUGUUUGGGCAUAAAGUAUGAAAAUGUCAUUCAAGUGCCACUGCUGUACCUCAUCUCAUCAGUGUGUUUAUAUACAAAGUAAGUAUCUAUAAUAACUUCAGCCCUUUUUGUCUAAUUUCCCAUGAUCUUAUUUCUGAUUCCACACUAGUCACGAUAACUCUUUUUAAAUGAAGGUUAAUCUGGAGCUUUCUUUUUUGUUUCUUUGCUAAUAGUUAUCAAAAUAAAAGUAGGCCAGGAUUGAUGUUUGGAAUCAGCCAAACUUAUGUUCAUUGCCCAUGGUUGCCACUUCUUAACAGUGUGGUCAGGUGGCUCCAUAGCACAAUGUAUUUCUGACAGUGUAGCCUUACACCAGGCACUGUACUCUCUGUGCCUUGACUUUUUUCCUCUAUGAAAUGGAACAGAAUUAGCUACCCCUCUGUAGCCUGUCUGUGAGCAUCAGAGGUUGUAUUGUACAUAUUACCAAAUGUAAACAUUUGUAACUCAUUGCCAACAGUGUUUGCAUCUCUCAAGUAAAGUAAGUCACUUCCAGUGGGAACAAUUCUUUUUCAUAUACCCCUGCCCACAUUCCUCAAGAAUAUAUUCCAAGACCAUUACUAAAGGCUUGAACCCUCAUAUUAUACACAUAUGUGGGUUCUCAUGUACUGAUUCAUCUUUAAUGAAGUUUCGUUUAGAAAUUAGUCAUAUACAACAUUAUUAUGAAGAUAGAAUGACAUACAUUUAUCAUAAUUCAAUUGUCAAUAUCCACUAUCCUUGUACUUCAUUUAUCUUUCAUAUUAUUUGGUUAAAGAAGAGUUACUUGAAAACAAACACGAUGAUACUAAAACAGCUGAUCUGAGAACUUAAAUGGCUAUAAACUAGUGGGUAGAUCCCAUAGCCAGGUUAGAGAUGUUAGACAAAGGUAUGAUUUACAUGUCAGACAUAAUAACAUGAGAUUUUUCUCUUGCUAAACAGAAUGGUACACAAUUUAAAACUGUACAUAUUCUUUAUUUCCUGAUUUUGCUCCAGUACUUUCAGAGCUUUGUUAACCAUCAUGCUGAAACUAUUCAAAGUAGAAACAAAUGUAAGGGAGGUCUAUUAUAAUGGUUUUAAAUUUCCCUUCUUUUCUCCAUACCAUUAUGCUAGACUCCUAAGUGAGGAGGAGAAGUAAAACUGAAGACAAUAUAUCUAGGCCUCCAGUCCCAUCCCAUUCCCUAAAACAUAAUCCUAAAAGAUAAUUUGAAAACCAUUCCAUUGGUGACACCCAUUACAAAGUACUGGGGAAGCAGACAAAAUGAUUAGAUUAGGAAAACACUGUAUGGCUUCUCUUACAUCUAAAUGGCCCAAAAUGCAUAUUCUAUAAUACAUGUAAUUUUAAUAAAAGCACUGCAGAGGUAGGGAGUAUAGCUCAAAGAUAGAACAUCUGUAUAGCAUCUUCAACACCCUUGAUAUAAAAGUUUUGCAGUAAAGAUAUAUGAAAAAAAUUGUAUGCAUUGAGUACUGACCUUCAAUUUACAAAAGAAACAUAUGAGAAAUGGAUUUUCUUUGAAUAAUAUAAAAUUUUUAUGGAUUCCUCAAUUUCCAGCAGUCUUCCUAAGGAAAUGAGCUACAACCCAUGCUUACAGUUGUUGAAUGAUAAGUUGUUCGCAAAAUACUUCCUGGCAAUCCAUCAGAAAAUUAUUAUAAAAUACUGGCUGUUAGAAUAAGAUCUUGUGAAGUCAUUUUCCACAAAUUUAUUUUAAUCUGUCAACUUCUAGUCUCUGAUGUGAAUGGAACACUCACAUACAAUGUGUGAACUCCAUCAUUUAUGUCAGAACACUGCAACUCUCCAUGGUUUUGAAAUGGAGAUGACUUCUCUAGGUGAUUAUAAUUGGCAAAUAAUUUAAAAUACAAUGGUUUCUUAAUAAGUUGUAUAGAUACAUUAGAACAUGUGUUAAAAAAAAAGAAAACAGUAAACCAGGCUAGAGAGAUGGCUCAGCAAUUAAAAGCACUGUUUACUCUUCCAGAGGAUCUGAGUUCAAUUCCCAGCAUCCAUACGACAGCUCACAACUGUCUGUAACUCCUGUUCCCAGGGAUCUGACUUCCUCACACAGAUGUACAUGUAGGCAGAACACCAAUGUACAUAAAAAAAUAUAUUUUUUAAAAGCAAUAAACCAAGUAGAGAUUCAUGAAUUUCGGAAGCUUUUCUACAAGUUGGUAGAUAAUGUGGUAGAAAUUCAGCUCUCAAUAAAAUUAUAGGCAGAUUAGAUGCUAUUUAAUAAUUUAAAUGUAAAGUUUAUAGAUGAUCUUGCUCAAGCUUAUUGGGUUGAAUAUGAUUUACCUGCACUAACACAUGGAACUUUUCCUACCUUUUUUUUUUUCUGACUUAGAAUGUAUUUGGAAAUAUAAAUGCAUCCCCCCUGACCCUAAGGUGAACUAAUUUAAAAUAC